AGAAGGGAAGUCAUCCUUGUUUCCGCCCUACCCCUCUGAGAUAGGGAAGAAUUCACAACAGUCAGUUAAAAGUCUGGCUCUGGCCAGUAAAGAUGCAACAGCUCCUGUGUCACUCUACUAUUCCACCUAGAUUAGUAAAGUUUAAGCGGUUGUCCAAAGUCUCAGCAUUUUAGAAUUAAUUUCUCGGUGCCCGGAUGCAGAUGACUGCUCCAUUGGAGUCAUGCAGUAUAGUUCUUUGGCCUUUUGUAUCCUGAAAGACCUCACCUGUUGAAGACCCCUGGCUCUGUUAAUGAGUGUUAUGACUGAAUUAGUCUACUGCUGCCAAUUUUACACACAUUAUGCAAAGAUAUCCAAAAGGUACAUCUCCCCUCCAAAGUAUUCUACGGCCAAGAAUGCUACAAAUCUUUUUAGGUGGAUUUUGGACUUUUUGGAGAGCCGGCAUCAG